rnacentral:rRNA from 1 species
AUUCGUCCAAGUGAAGCAGAGGACAGUGGCGGACGGGUGAGUAACGCGUGAGGAACCUGCCUUUCAGAGGGGGACAACAGUUGGAAACGACUGCUAAUACCGCAUGAUGUUACCGGAGGGCAUCCUUUGGUAACCAAAGAUUUAUCGCUCUGAGAUGGGCUCAUGUCUGAUUAGAUAGUUGGCGGGGUAACGGCCCACCAAGGCGACGAUCAGUAGCCGGCCUGAGAGGGUGAUCGGCCACAUUGGGACUGAGACACGGCCCAAACUCC